AUGCAGCGUGGUGCAGGCGGCAGUGGUGAGAAAGUUGCGGAUUGGUGCUGCUGGCCCCAACAGGCACCUUGCACUACCCGUGUAAGCACGUUCGAGAAGGCAGUGGGGGUGUCCACGGAAAAGCCGACGACAGAUAAUGUAAUCAUUCAAGUGCUGGGUACUGGUACCUUUGACUCGCUUGGAGAAGCAUAUGAUUUGUACAACUUGUAUUCUUGGGAGGAAAGGAUUUGGUAUAAGAUAUGGGAAAAGCUAGUUAAAUGUGGAGAGGGUGAAGUGCAUGCAGGAAAUUGUCUGCCGAUGUUCGGGGGAAAGCUGGUGUGGAGAACACAAGGUCCCUUCGGUGUGAAUGCCCAGCGUUGA
rnacentral:rRNA from 1 species